rnacentral:misc_RNA from 1 species
GCAAACUUGGUCAUUUAGAGGAAGUAAAAGUCGUAACAAGGUUUCCGUAGGUGAACCUGCGGAAGGAUCAUUGUUGGAAAGAAUCCUGUAGAUUUAUUUGCAGGUCAAAUAACUUUUGACACCCAAGGAGUUUUUUUGGUUGGUUGUUUAUUUGAUUUGGUUGGUUGGUUGGUCGGUCGGUCUGUUGCUACGUUGCGUUGGACGGGCUUUUAUUAGUUUGUUGCUUGGCAAGUGGCUUGAUAUAUGGACCCUCAAGACCUCAAAGACUUCAAGACCAACCAAAUCAAAGACGACAAGUCAACAACAAAAAAAGAAUGUGGUUGCCUGAUUGUGAAAAAGUGAUUGGUACAGAGAUGGAAAAUUUUGAAACAACUUUCAACAACGGAUCUCUUGGCUCUCACAUCGAUGAAGAACGCAGC